AAGUGCAUGGUUCAGUGGUUUGAGCUAUGGACUAUGACUCUGGAGAUCAGGGUUUGAAUCCCCACUUGGCCAUG